GAUGAACGCUGGCGGCGUGCCUAAUACAUGCAAGUCGAGCGGACCAAAGAGAGCUUGCUCUCUGAGGUUAGCGGCGGACGGGUGAGUAACACGUGGGUAACAUGCCUGUAAGACGGGGAUAACUUCAGGAAACCGAAGCUAAUACCGGAUGAUAAAGAGAAACGCCUGUUUCUUUUUUGAAAGUCGGCCUUGUGCUGACGCUUACAGAUGGGCCAGCGGCGCAUUAGCUAGUUGGUGAGGUAACGGCUCACCAAGGCGACGAUGCGUAGCCGACCUGAGAGGGUGAUCGGCCACACUGGGACUGAGACACGGCCCAGACUCCUACGGGAGGCAGCAGUAGGGAAUCUUCGGCAAUGGACGAAAGUCUGACCGAGCAACGCCGCGUGAGCGAUGAAGGCCUUCGGGUCGUAAAGCUCUGUUGUCAGAGAAGAACAAGUACCGGAGUCACUGCCGGUACCUUGACGGUACCUGACCAGAAAGCCACGGCUAACUACGUGCCAGCCGCCGCGGUAAAAC
rnacentral:rRNA from 1 species